rnacentral:rRNA from 1 species
GAUGAACGCUAGCGGCAGGCCUAAUACAUGCAAGUCGAACGGGAUCCAGAUCAAAGCUUGCUUUGGUUUGGUGAGAGUGGCGCACGGGUGCGUAACGCGUGAGCAACCUACCCUUGUCAGGGGGAUAGCCCGGCGAAAGUCGGAUUAAUACCGCAUGACAUCAUUGAGAGGCAUCUUUCGAUGAUCAAAGAUUUAUCGGACAAGGAUGGGCUCGCGUGACAUUAGCUAGUUGGUAAGGUAACGGCUUACCAAGGCUACGAUGUCUAGGGGCUCUGAGAGGAGAAUCCCCCACACUGGUACUGAGACACGGACCAGACUCCUACGGGAGGCAGCAGUAAGGAAUAUUGGGCAAUGGACGGAAGUCUGAACCAGCCAUGCCGCGUGCAGGAAGACGGCCCUAUGGGUUGUAAACUGCUUUUAUACGGGAACAAACGUCGGUACGUGUACCGGUCUCAGUGUACCGUAAGAAUAAGGAUCGGCUAACUCCGUG